GACGAACGCUGGCGGCGUGCUUAACACAUGCAAGUCGUACGGUAAGGCCCUUUCGGGGGUACACGAGUGGCGAACGGGUGCGUAACACGUGAGUAACCUGCCCACAACUUUGGGAUAACGCUAGGAAACUGGUGCUAAUACUGGAUAUGUGCUCCUGCUGCAUGGUGGGGGUUGGAAAGCUCCGGCGGUUGUGGAUGGACUCGCGGCCUAUCAGCUUGUUGGUGGGGUAGUGGCCUACCAAGGCGGCGACGGGUAGCCGGCCUGAGAGGGUGACCGGCCACAUUGGGACUGAGAUACGGCCCAGACUCCUACGGGAGGCAGCAGUGGGGAAUAUUGCACAAUGGGCGCAAGCCUGAUGCAGCAACGCCGCGUGCGGGAUGACGGCCUUCGGGUUGGAAACCGCUUUCAGCAGGGACGAAGCUUUUUGUGACGGUACCUGCAGAAGAAGCACCGGCUAACUACGUG
rnacentral:rRNA from 1 species